rnacentral:lncRNA from 1 species
AUUUGGCCUUCUCCAAACUUCAUUAAGUUUAACAUUCUAUUUAUAAAUAAAAGUCUUCAAGCAAUGUAAUAUUAUCAAUUGUAGUAUGUUGACUUAGAGAAAAAAUUGCACUAUAAAAAUUAAGAGUAUUUUCUAUUUGAAUUAAUAGUAACUUACAAUGUUUAAAAGAAGGGGCAGGAAAUUCUCUACCUUAUUGGUUGAGGUUGUAUCAAAUAGAUGGAUGAAAAAUGAUUAUAGAUCAAGCAACACUGUUUUCAAUCAAUAGAAUUACCUUCUAACUCUUCUUCUAUAUUAUUGGAUUUUUUCAAUAUAAGAGA